rnacentral:ncRNA from 2 species
CCGUGUCGCUAGGGGUGGUACCAACUGAGAGCCGGCAACCGGGACCCGGCAACCCUUAGUACCUGAUCUGGGUAAUGCCAGCGGAGGGAAGCGACGGCUGGGGACU